GACGAACGCUGGCGGCGUGCUUAACACAUGCAAGUCGAACGGAAAGGCCCUGCUUUUGUGGGGUGCUCGAGUGGCGAACGGGUGAGUAACACGUGAGUAACCUGCCCUUGACUUUGGGAUAACUUCAGGAAACUGGGGCUAAUACCGGAUAGGAGCUCCUGCUGCAUGGUGGGGGUUGGAAAGUUUCGGCGGUUGGGGAUGGACUCGCGGCUUAUCAGCUUGUUGGUGGGGUAGUGGCUUACCAAGGCUUUGACGGGUAGCCGGCCUGAGAGGGUGACCGGCCACAUUGGGACUGAGAUACGGCCCAGACUCCUACGGGCGGCAGCAGUGGGGAAUAUUGCGCAAUGGGCGGAAGCCUGAUGCAGCAACGCCGCGUGCGGGAUGACGGCCUUCGGGUUGUAAACCGCUUUCGCCUGUGACGAAGCGUGAGUGACGGUAAUGGGUAAAGAAGCACCGGCUAACUACGUG
rnacentral:rRNA from 1 species